GCCAGAAAACUGGAAUCAUACCAGAGACCUUUAGAUCUUCAGUCUAACGCUCUCCCAAACUGAUCUAUUUGG
rnacentral:tRNA from 1 species